rnacentral:rRNA from 1 species
ACUUAAAUUGAAGAGUUUGAUCAUGGCUCAGAUUGAACGCUGGCGGCAGGCCUAACACAUGCAAGUCGAGCGGUAGCACAGAGAGCUUGCUCUCGGGUGACGAGCGGCGGACGGGUGAGUAAUGGUCUGGG